UACGUAGGGUGCGAGCGUUGUCCGGAAUUAUUGGGCGUAAAGAGCUCGUAGGCGGCGUGUCGCGUCGGGAGUGAAAGCCCGUUGCUUAACGGCGGGUUGGCUUUCGGUACGGGCAUGCUGGAGUGCGGCAGGGGAGACUGGAAUUCCUGGUGGUAGCGGUGAAAUGCGCAGAUAUCAGGAGGAACACCGGUGGCGAAGGCGGGUCUCUGGGCCGAUACUGACGCUGGAGGAGCGAAAAGCGUGGGGGAGCGAAACAGG
rnacentral:rRNA from 1 species